GCUGCAGUAGCUGAAGGUGUGAACGGAACCACCCACGCUGACUCCAUGUCUAAAGGAUGAUUCCUUAUAACUAGACAAGUCUCAAUUGCCCUGAUUUUUCCAACAAGGUCAGCAAGUCUUUGCACAGUGGCAUGUCUGAUGAGAUUGAUUGCAGUGAUGAACACCGUAGGUCUGCCUGCAGGCAGAGGAGCGGGAGCUGAAGGAAGGCCACAUCUGGGACUUCUCUGAGGAGCCUGGGGAAAGAUCAGGAGAAAGGAAGGAGCAGAUGGUGCGUAAGAACUGACAUAUUUGACACAAGACCAAUAACAGAACCGUGUUCUUCUUGAACGACAACUGGAGGCCAGCCUAGAAGUCCCAAACAAUCUGAAAUGGCACUAAAUGCCAUGUACAGUCCAAGUGUGUCAACCCUACCAGAAAGAGUUGUACAACAAACAGAUCUCAGAUGAAUAUCUCAAUGGAAAUUGUUGGGUGUUUAUAUCCUCAGUAUCACUAAGCAGUAAGUAGAGAUUGUUGCAGAAG